rnacentral:lncRNA from 1 species
CAGAAGUCACGUGAAGCAUGUGUCAAACGGUCGUCCGUCCUUUUCGUUAUGCCUGACGUACGCCGUCGUACCCGAUAGAUCGCAAUAGUUUAAUUACAUAAUUAAGAAGCUAAGAAUUUAAUUCGUUCUAAUUAGGGGGAGCCUUGGUAAGAUUCAACGACGUUGUGUCUACAUAAUUUAAUAUCGCCUACCGGUGCACACGACCUCUUGCGCGUGGAAUCCACGAAGGAAUGAACGAACGCUGGGCGAUUCCGAAAAAAAGGCAUUAAACUGUAACUCGGAACAUGGAGCUUAUGAGUAUUGUAAAAAUUACCGCCUACGGACGGAGACCUUCUGGGAACGGCGAUAUUCUUUUCCGUUGGAAAAUCUAAACGCUAGUCGCAGGUACUCGUGGCCCGAUGUUUUCGACUCGGAUGAUAGAGCGAUUGCAUAUCUUUGGAUCAAUGCCGUUCUAUGGAGCAAGAUUCAUUUUCUGACAUUUCCCAACGAAGUUUCGUACUCCGAAGUAAACCCGCUCCACGUACGUUACAUUCCAUGAAUUCAACCCAGAGCAGCAGCAGCAGCAGCAGCAGCAUCCCCCGGUCAUUCCUUUGUCGCCAUAUUUGAACAGAUCGUAAAGUUAAACGUCAAAACUACGCAGACUCGUGGUUGCCCUAUAGUAAAACAUUAACGUCGUCUGUUUCUUGCCAACGGUGAACAAAAUUCAACUCAACGGUAGUGGUGGCACAACUUUCGAUAAAUUCCAAAAGUGUACUCCAUCCAGUCCGACUGCGAAUUCGACCACCGAAUUCGCGGUGUCAAAAUUAAAAGAAAACAACUCGAAUUUUAUCGAAAGCAGAUUAUUAACGUAAAAAUUGAAGUACUUUUUUUAAUGAGACGUUGUUAAGCUGAACUUGUGAUAUAAUAUCUUAAAUUGUUAUCUGUACGGAUUAGAAUCUACAAUCACAUCGCGUCGCGAUAUGUUGGUUCGGGGGUCAACGUAUCGCGAAAUAAGUUUCGGGGUAGUCUGACUUUGAAAAAAUACACGAGUAUAACUCAACUUAGUAGUUGUUCGUUCGAAACUAUCUUUAUCUGUCAUUGGAACGAUCGCGUACGUAAUGCGUGAAAUAGUCACUAAAAUGAGUCAAAGAUAUAGAAAACAUUCAUUGACACUGACCACGCCAAAAACGCAAGUAUGGGUGUUUGACACCACAUAUGAUAAACCGAUCCGAGGUUACGGCAGCAUUAAGAGUUAAGUGUCAUUGUUCCGAGGCGGGCAUGAAUAAAUUGUUUUUUCCGUAUCAAGUAUAUAAAAGUAAAUGAGUUAAGUACAAUGUGCAUGCGAUAAACGCGCAGAAAGUAAAUAUGCGUAUCACGUACGAAAUCAGCGAUUAAUUUAUUUCCUAAAUCGAUGAACUAUAGACGUAUAGGAAUCAAAUGACGUAGAUUGUUUUUUCGUUUCCUUUCUUUCUAUCAGAGCGAAAGAAAAGAGGAAAAAAAACACGAGAA